GAGCCAAUACGAUUCUUCCCUACUAACAGGAGUUUACGACCCUAAGGCCUUCGUCCCCCACGCGGCGUUGCUGCGUCAGGCUUUUCGCCCAUUGCGCAAUAUUCCU
rnacentral:rRNA from 1 species